AGAGAGCUGGACACGCAAUGCUGCAGGUCUCGGUGAGGCCGCACUCCUGGGCGGAGGGGCACACGUGCAGUGGAGCUGCCGAACCUGGGGGCCGGGGCUACCAGGAAGCGCAGAACCUCAGCGACCAGCCUCUGCGGGGGUCUCGGCUGAGCGGAGCCCGACCCCCUUGCUCUUCAGCCCGAGAGCCCGGCUCAGUUUCCAAAAACAGAUCGGGGGCGCCGCCUGGUGGUCAGAGCCCGGCCGCAGCCACCUGGGCCCUGGUCUGCGUCCACAGGUCCAGGCUCCGCAGGUCCCCGCGGCUCUGGUGGACGUCUGUGGCCCCCCCGCUAAUGCAGGCCUCUUGAGAAAAGGCGGGAAACCCAGGGGCGCCUAGCGCAUCCCGGGGGUCUGGGGUCUCACCCAGAGCCGGCCUUUCUUCUGUGCUCAGCGGGCUGUUUCUAGACUUGUCUCCAGGCCUCCAGAUGCUUUCUCCCUCAAAGUCAAUCACACACCCACCACGCACACACGCACGCACACGCACACCACACACGCACACCCACACACGCACACACACCACACACAUGCACACGCACACACACAUGCACACACGCACACACAUGCACACGCACACACAUGCACACGCACACACACGCACACACACGCACACACACAUGCACACAUGCACACACACGCACACGCACACAUGCACACAUGCACACACACGCACACGCACACACACGCACACACGCGCACACCACACACGCACACCCACACACGCACACAGACACACACGCACACACACGCACACACACACGCACACGCACACACACGCACACACGCACACGCACACACACCACACACAUGCACACGCACACAUGCACACAUAACACACACGCACACACACCACACACAUGCACAUGCACACACACACGCACACGUACACACAUACACACUCGCACACCACACACGCACACCCACACACGCACACACGCACACAGACACACACGCACACACCACACACGCACACACGCACACGUGCACACACACGCACACACACACGCACGCACGCACACGCACACAUGCACACACGCACACACACAACACUCAUGCACACACCACACACGCACACGCGCGCACAUGCGCACACACACCCACCACACAUGCACACGCACGCAUGCACACACACACGCACACAUACACGCGCACACAUGCACACGCACGCACGCACGCAUACCCACCACACACACGCACACACACGCACACGCACACGCACACCCAAGUCUGCAAGCUGCCGGGUGGCUCCCAUGUACCACUGGCCUGACUGGCGGCUGGCUGGCGGCUGGCUGGCGGUGGCGACGAGACAGAGGUGGAUGCUCUUGGGGGGCUGGGGGGGGUCCGGCCACUGCCCCCCCAGGAGGGGAAGUUGGGGAGCAAAGUGAAUCUUCCGAGUCUUGUGCUUGGUUUGGUCUGGUUUUUGCUCCCUUGGGAAGACUGAGCCGGCACCGUGCUGGAAGGCCACAGGGACAAAGCCACUUUGGAGACCCGAGCCCUCCUGGGUCUGGGGUAUUGCGGCAGGCUCCUCUCAGCGAGGGAGGGUCCUGGCUGCGGGUGGACACACGGCUGUCUCGGGGCGGGCAGCAGCGUGCUCCGGGCAGUGGGGAGCCUGCUCUCGCUCCCUCGUCUGAGACUGGGGAAAACCCACCCUCUCGGGCUUGCCGUGGGAGCUCAUCCGGUGACCCCCGCAGAGUGUCGGCGCAGGGUGGGCGUGCGGUCAGCCCAGGGCAGGAUCAGUCUCUGCGGUCAUUCAGGGCCCGGCCCGGCACCGGUGACCCCCGCAGUGUCGGUGCAGGGUGGGCGUGCGGUCAGCCCAGGGCAGGAUCAGUCUCUGCGGUCAUUCAGGGCCCGGCCCGGCACCGGGACCAGAGCACGCCGCACGCCCAGGCUUGCUGCCCCCGCAGGAGGAAGGGGUCUGCACACGUCUGCUGGGGGCUGUGGAGGGGCCGCCGGAGCCAACGCCAAAGACAUCAGCUGCCUGCUGUCCACGCGGCCACGGCUGUGCCAGGAGCCAGCACACCCACCAACGUCCAGCGAGUCCACUGCACGCCAGGCCCCGCCCUGGCCAUCUCCGAGCAGAGAGAGGCCUGGCUGGAAGAUGGGGGUGUCUGAGAUGCAGCCAGCUGGGGGGGGCAUCCACAGCCCCGUGCAGCCGCCUCACCACGCCCCAACCUCUCCCAGCCAGCCAGUGUGGGUGGGUGAGCCCAUCCUACACCAAGAAUAAGGCGCAGAGAACGGCGGGGACCAGGUGGUAGGUGUGGUGGCUCCUGGCACGGCCAUGGCCGCGUGGGCAGCAGGCAGCGGAUGUCUUUGUCCAAGUGUGUCCCAGGGUGCAGCCCAGCAGGCGAGUGGCUGGCGGUGUGCUCUCGGGCACGCAGCUCGCACCUGUCCGUGCUCCCCUUUCUGCAUGUGACACGGAGCUCCGCAGAGCGGGUGGGGUCCGGUGAGGGAGGGGCUGAAGACAGGGGCAGGUCAGCUCGCAGUUGAGGCCUGGGGCUCUUAGCAACAGCAGGCAGGGGCCCCGCGGCGGGGCAGUGCAAGAGCUUAGCCCGAGCUCUGUGCACGGGUUUCAGGCCUGUUCAGAGCCCAGAGCCGCGCUGGGAAGGAACAGGAAGGGUCCCCAGGCCCGCCAG
ensembl:lncRNA